rnacentral:misc_RNA from 1 species
UCCUCGUUAACCGAGGCAGUCUCGCUAGAGUGCCCACCAUUACGUGCUGGCAACUAACGACAAGGGUUGCGCUCGUUGCGGGACUUAACCCAACACCUCACGGCACGAGCUGACGACAGCCAUGCAGCACCUGUUUACAGGCCCCUUGCGGGGAGGCAACAUUUCUGCUACCGUCCUGUAUAUGUCAAGCCCAGGUAAGGUUCUUCGCGUUGCAUCGAAUUAAACCACAUGCUCCACUGCUUGUGCGGGUCCCCGUCAAUUCUUUUGAGUUUCACCCUUGCGAGCGUACUCCCCAGGCGGAACACUUAUCGCGUUAGCUACGACACAGUCAGGGUUGAGCCCAACUACAUCAAGUGUUCAUCGUUUACGGCAAGGACUAC